CCAGUUAUUAUUAUUAGUGUCUAUCCGUUAAGGCCCUGACGUCCUCGUCAGUCCAAUUACACAUACAGCCCAAGAUCACCAGGCAAUGUGAGACUUAUCUCGCUAACCCGUCAUCCAGACCCUGGCUCAGCCGAGACUCGCCACACAUGUUCAGCUGGUGAACCGGCUCUGAUACCAAAUGUAACAACCCAGCCCACUAGCAAUAAUAACUCGUUGGGCCCAACCGCCGGCCCAAAAUGCUUAAACCCAGUUAUUAUUACUAGUGUCUAAGUCUCUUAUAAACCCAAUGACAACCCUUUUCCCAUCCGAUGUGGGACUAUUGGGAUGUCACAGACUCCCCCCGUUAAGGCCCUGACGUCCUCGUCAGUCCAAUCAUACACACAGCCCAAGAUCACCAGGCGAUGUGAGACUCGUCUCGCUAGCCCGUCAUCCAGACCUUGGCUGAGCCGAGACUCAUCUCACACUUCCGGCUGGUAAUUGGCUAUGAUACUAUCUGUGACGCCCCAACUUCCCAGGGGGUCACCCAUCCUAGGACUACUCCCGUCCUAGCACGCUUAACUCUCUUAACCUCUUGGACCUUGCCACCACCCAAAAUGCUUAAGCCGGGUUAAAAGUUUAGCCCUAUUAUAUCUCAUAAAUAGGACUAGCUAGGGUCUCAACCACCGGUCCAAAUGUAACGAAUGUAUGAUACCAAAUGUAACAACCCAGCCCACUAGCAACAAUAACUCGUUGGGCUCAAUCACCGGCCCAAAAUGCUUAAGCCCAGUUAUUAUUAUUAGUGUCUAUUCGUUAAGGCCCUGACGUCCUCGUCAGUCCAAUCACAAAUACAGUCCAAGAUCACCAGGCAAUGUGAGACUUAUCUCGCUAGCCCGUUAUCCAGACCCUGGCUCAGCCGAGACUCGCCACACAUGUUCAGCUGGUGAACCGGCUCUGAUACCAAAUGUAACGACCCAGCCCACUAGCAAUAAUAACUCGUUGGGCCCAACCGCUGGCCCAAAAUGCUU
rnacentral:lncRNA from 1 species